rnacentral:lncRNA from 1 species
AGCAAAUACGUACAAUAACAUCGACAAACAACAAAACAACAGCCUCCAACAUCGAAUCACUGAACAACAUCAGUAACGACCAGUUCUAGUGGAAACCCGUCCAUGACAACCUGAUUACCCGAUGAAAAAUUGACCCAUCCCAGACCCGCGAACCCAAUAAACCCGAAUCUGGGUCCGACCCGCGAAUUCAAUCCGUUUCUUCAAUGAAAUUUCUAGAAAUUGGACACCUAGCGUACCAUAAAAGCUAAUUGCGCGAAUCUCGGUCACGAUGGUACUAUUCCAUACAUAUUUGGUGGAUUUCUAUUGGUUCUUAAGGGAAUUUGUUUUGCAAAAAUUCUAUUGGCCAACCCCCCAUUGAAUUCCCUAAAAAAAAAAACAAAAUCGGUACAAUUUUGUUAGAGGAAUCUGAUCUGGAGUUCAAAUUUUGAAUUCCUUUUUGAGGAAUUCCCUAAUUUACCCCUGAAUGACUUUAUCCCACAUCAGUGGAGCAACUUUUGAAGGGGGUUUUCUCUGCUCUCUCUCUAUAUCUCUUUAGAGCAAGAAAAGGGAUUUUUUUUUGGGGGGGGGGGGGGUGAUAUUUUUUGGAGGAUAUUUUUCUGAAGGGAGAAGCAAAAAACAAGAGAGAAAAGUCUCAAAUAGGGAAAGGGGAAAAAGGUUCGCGCAAAAGAAAAGAAGAUACAGUCUUCUAGUAUAAAUUUGAGCAAAAAAUUAUCUGUUUUUUCUUUUUCUCUCCGAAAAAUUGGUCGGAAAUUGGAAUUGUUGAACCGAAGACGACCUAUUUUUGGCGGUGAUUGAAUCCAAAAAGUUCAAAGUUCCGUUUUGCUGCUCCAAAACAGGUAAUAAUCUCCCUUUUAGUUUUGGCAUUCCUUUCUUAGUCGUUCGAUAGUCGUAUUAGCAUUUAUAAUAGCGUCCUGGGAUUGUUUGGCUGUAGAAGGCCUUAAAGGCUAUAGGUUUAUUUUUAGGAAGUUCUGUUUGAACAAAUUGAUUCACGGUUUAUCUCUAUAAUGCUUGCUUUACUUUUCUUUGGAAGCUCAUUAUAUCAUCGUAACUUUUGUAUGUUAAUCCCCAACAUAUCGUUCUGCAUUUAAUUGUUUUGCUCUGGGUUUAAUGUUCUCGUUCAUCUGAAUGUUCUCUGCUUUAAAUGUUUAAUAAAUGAUAUUUGUAUAAGUGUUAUUUUAGUCCUUCUUCCUGUUAUGAGUUCGAUUCUACAUUACUUGUUGCAUAUAGUUCAUGACCUGGGUUUAAUAUGGAUUGCCUCCCCGAUCAUCUUUGGCCUACUAAGUCGAUAGGAACAGUAGGUGUAUGUCCAUGGUAAAACAUCAGUUUUGGUCUAGUUUUAUGGUUAUAAGGGAUAGGAUGCAAUGAAUUCGUGUGUUUUCUGCAUGUGGUCUACUUCUAUGGUUGUGGGAAAUGUUCUUUAGGUUCAUCUCAUUUCAGAACCAUUUUCUAUGUUAGAUGAAAGCUGCUCCCGAAACUUCUUUGACUCUUAAUGUCAAGAAAAAGAUUUGGGUUACGUCUCAUUUAAGUUUCAAUUGAUAUUAAGAUCCCUCUACGAUAUGUUUGAUAUAAUACUCUCGAGAACUCACCAAAGAGGAAGGAGAAUGAUUUCUAUGUGUCUUCUUUCAACUUUUGGUCAUGUUUUUACUCGGAUUUUCCCUUAUAGAAUUUGAUUAACUCUAGAAUCAUUUCAACAAGGUACAAUCCCUAUGUGAUAAGUAUGAUUAAUUUUGUUGUGUGAGCACUAAAUUAUUGUUCUCUUGGAUUCGCCUAUUGUUGGAUUUCAGGUUUGGAGUUUGAUAUAUGUUAAGAUUUCUUUAUAACCCAUGCUUCUUCUCGGGCUUGUGUAACCAUGUUGGUAAUAUAACGUUUGAUUUAUUGCCUAUUUUUAACAUGAUUGUGUGAAAAAAAAUACAUGUAUAUGAAAUUUUAUUUUAUUAAUCUUAUUUGCUAGGAGCCAUAAGAAGCCUUGUUUUGAGUUUUAGUCGGAAUUGAUUUAAUUAAUUGUUUAUGAUUGUCUUCUUGAAACUCCAUGGGUUUUGCUUCUAUUGAGUUUUACUUGCUUUAAUUAAUUGUUUAUGAUUGUCUUCUUGGAACUCCAUGGAUUUUGCUUCUAUUGCGUUUUACUUGUGUAUGAAUAUAUUUUGAUGAAGCCUGAAAGCUAUAGUUUGUAAAUUGUUAAAACUUGGGCAUUUAUUAAUUCUUUUUUCUUUUCUUUUCUUUUUGCAUGAAUUUUAUCUUGGAGUCCGAACGGACUCCUCCCUUUCUCAUUUCGUCAUAGGCCAACAUGACCCACCUUUCGAGUCAAACCUGAAAGAAAAUCUUAAACGAAUUGCAUGGCGUAUGGCUGCAAGAAGGAAACGAGAGAAGAAGAAAGAGUUAAAACCCGUAUUUGAAGCGGCCAAGAGACUUGAAGGUUUUGAUUUUUUUAUUUUGCUUAUGGUGUUUAUUUAUUCAUUUAUUGUAGCCUUUAGUUAUUUAUUUUAUUUACUCAUUCAUUUGUGCCUCAAAGCCAAAGUUGUAAAUUUAAUACAGAUGAAGCGGAUUUUGGGCCAAAAAGGCUCGAAAACAUAGAAUUAGGAAAGCUGAAAAUGAGCCAAGGCCCGACAUUAGAUCAAGACAGGUGCAAGUGGGUCAAAAAACCAAUUGACUUUGGGCCCAAUGACCUAAGUCUUUUAUUUUCUCCCUUUUCCCCUUUUAUAUACUUCUUUGCCUUUUAUUUGUUUAUACUUAGCUAAAAUCCCUAUCAAGUAGUCCAAAAUUAUUUUACACAAAUCGUAUUCUAAAAUCGAUCACUUUUCAACAAUCAUUUGAAGUUAGUCAAAAGACGUUUUCAAACAGUCCGGAUAACUGCAAGUUAGCAGACGUUUUAGGUGCCUAAAACCUUCCUAAAACGUAAAUAGGAACCGCUUACUCAGAAUCUUUAAAAUUUUAAAUGAUUUUUCUAUUUUUGGAUCGUUUAAAGUAACUAUAUAAAGGUUUCUUAAUUCCUUUUCAAAAUUAAGUGGCGACUCUUAAAAAGGUUGACAUUUUCGCAAAACAGAAAUGGCGACUCUGCUGGAGAUUUUUUAACUAGGUUCUAACCAAAUGUUUAAUUUCGUCUUUUGAUUAACUGUUUAAUCGCCUAUGUGUUUAUAUUUUUUGAUUCUGCAAAGUUUAAUUAUCGUAUCUCAUGGCAUAUCCCUACAUUAUUUAAACUAUUUUGGGGUUUCGUGGAUGUCCCGGCCGCUAUUGUUCAAUUUCAAACAACGCGUUGAAAAUACGAUGGUUUAUUAGCACGUGAGUCGUCUGAUGGUUGUUCGUAUUUUCAAACCCAAGUUGUCCACUUGGGAACCUACGUUCAAACUCACUUUAGACACCUAGGAUAGAGCAAAACCAAAAUCCUAUUUCAGGCAUGAGCCUAGGAUGAUCCAAUACACGAGGGGGUAUUGGGCCCAUUAGAAAACUUGUCCUGCGUCUAUUGACCCCGAGUCAAUUACAGACGAAUCACAUUUAUGUAUUGAAUAAAUAUAUGUUUGUUUAAUCCAAUUCAUUAUCCAUUGGGGGUCGGUAUAAGGCUUGUUUUACUUACUUUCGUAUAAGGAUACCUCAAUCGUACACCGAUUGACGAAGGAAUUAAAGCAAGCCAAGCAAGAAAUUGAUUGAUUUGGAUAGUUGCAUGACAUCUAUAGCAUAGUUAUACGGCAAUCGCUUAAUCAUUAACGGAUGUUGCCAAUAACGAGGAGUGGACAAAGCUAAGAGGGCGAAGGCCGAUAGAAGAAGUAUUCAGGAAUUAGUAUUUUCUAUCCCCUACGUGGGACAUCAUUCUUUUUCUCAUGUUAUUUCUCUCUCCCUAAAGGUUGUAUCCCUUUUGUGCGACUUUUGUAGACAUUUAUGUCUUUUAUGUAUAUCUAUGAAAUUGGGGGAUAAUGAAUUGACUUUAAAAAGGC